rnacentral:lncRNA from 1 species
UUGAAAGUAAAUCCCCCUAUAGACUAUAGUGACGGUGCCAGAGUUAAAAAAAAAAAAAAAAAAAAAAACACUCUCUCUCAUCCUUCCCAAAAACAAAGACCUUUUUUGUCUGAGAGAAUCUCUGCACAGAAAACACCAAUCUCAACCUGAGAGAGACUCUUUUCCUCUCAUUCACACACUCAUUCACUCACCAAACCUCAGAUCAAGAUUCAUGGAGAUCCCAGAAAAGUUGGUGAAGUUGAGAUACCAUAUCCUUGCAACACUUAUUUUGUCAGCAACAAUCUUGAGCCUCAUAACGGUGGCACCAAGAUUCAUGAAUCUCUUGGCAUAUUUCUGGCCACUUCUACUCUCCACAGCUCUUGUUCUUGCCUUAGUCUUCUUUUUCGCCAAGACCUCUCCUUUACCGGCUACCGAUUCUUCCCUUGACAACUCCCUCCUUGAUUACGUUGCUGGCCCCCAAGAUCCACCUUUGGAUUCUGCUCACAACAAGUUCGAUUAGCCUAAGGUUAGAACAACUUAGAAUAAACCAAACCCACCAACAACAACAUUAGAUAAUAUUAAUAAUAAUAAGAUACAAAACUACUCAACUGCUCUUACUACUUUAUUCACUUCUAUCAUGUGUAUUAUUAUUAUUAUUUAUUAGUUAUUAACAACUUCUACUUACAAUUUGAUAGCUUUAUUACCUUGUACUAUUGUUGUUAUUAUUUUUAAUUUUUAUGCUUGAGUUGCAUGUUAGUGUUGUAAUUCAAUAAUUUUUGUUUUAUGAUUAUUAUUAUUAUUGAGUUUGAAGUUUGAGCUGAAAAUUAUUAUUGUUAGCUAGAUUUCAAUAAUUAUUGUUGCAUGUGAAUUGAUUGAAGCUUGGUUCAAUUAUUAAAAUGAGGGAUGUUUUGGCUGUUCGGGGUUGCCGCAGGUGCCGUUCAAAGUUGAUAGCGUUGGUGUGAUUGUGAUUUGUGAAAGAUGCAACCUUGAACCUACUAUGCUUUUUUUCUUUCGAUCUUUUUUUUUUUCUUUUUUUUUAGGUUGCGGGUUGGAUAAAUGCAAUGAUUUUGUGUGUACAUAAUUGAUAAUUCAAACCCUCUCUCUCUUUUUAUUUUUUUAACACAUAAUCUACAAUUAUUUCUCAUGAUUGAUGACGUUAUGCUUAGGUCAUGAACGAAUUUUCA